GGAGGAGAAGGGGACGACAGAGGAUGAGAUGGCUGGAUGGCAUCACUGACUCGAUGGACAGCUGUGUUCUUCUAAUCUCCUACCUGCAACCUGUGUGAGGAAGGCUCUAGAAGUUCUGCAGGAUGCCUGGGACUAAGCGAGGCUUCUGUUCAUGGUGCAGAGGAAGUCUGCUUCCACUGUGAAGAGUGGGUAACAGACCUGGGAGCAAGGGAGCAAAACAAACAACAAACCAAAUCCGAAAACAAGAGUCUUCCCAUCUUUCUCGACCAGAUCAGAUUCUUCAGCCCGCAGAGCCUCUCCUGACCUUCCUUAAUGGAGAGAGCUUAUCCCUUCUCUCACUCCUGCACGGCUUCACCUGCACUACUCUCAGAGCGUCAUUACCUACUGCCUUGAGUUAUAAUUAUUUGUGGACAGAUGUCACUUUCAUCUAGUUCUGUAUCUGUACAGGCUGAAUAAUGGUGCCCAAAGAUGUCCACGUCCUCAUCACCAGAACCGGUGAACAUCACCUUCCUUGGCAAGAUGGACUUGGCAGAUAUGAUUAAGUUUAGUAUCUGGAGGUGCAAGAGGUUAUCCUGGCUCACCCAGGUGGCCCCAAAUAUAAACCUAAAGGGAGGCAGAGGGAGAGGAAGACUUGGCUGAAGUGGAGGAGGGCCUGAUGAGACCAGAGGCAGGGAUGGGAGUAAUGCAGAGAGGAGCCAUCAGAAGCUGCAAGAGGUGAGGAUCAGCUUACCUCCUGGAGCCUCCAGAAGGAACAGGCCCUGCUGACACCUUGAUUUCAGCUCCUCAAGACUUAUCUGGACGUCCGGCCUCCAGAACUGUUAGAGAAUAAAUCUGUGGAGUGUUUUUACUUCUGGUUGUCAAGCCUCUAAGUUUGUGGUAAUUUGUCAAGAACCCAGUUGGAAACAAUCACUGCUAUUCCCCACAUCCUAAAGGCAAUAACAGACUCACUCAGAGCCCCAGCCAAGUACAAAGAAUUACCCCUUUGGUGGGGAACAGAGUUGGGGUUGUCCAAGUCUUGCUUGAGGAAUAAUACUUCGAGAAUGGAUUCUGGUCUCGUUCUGCUUUUUUGAAUUGAUCCAACUCCGAGUCCACACUGAUCCUUCUGCGGCCACAGCUUCACACUCCAGUCUUGUUCACAAGUGAGAUGUCAUUGACCUCAGCAUCUAGUGGUCUCUGUGAGCUGAGUUCAAAGUCACCACCACCAUGAAUUCUACAUUAUAGAAGUUAUUUCCAGGAUGACUACUGAAAGUCACAAAUUAAAAAGAAAUAAGUUCAAAAGAGAAGUCUGAAUGACUAAAUUGAUCAGUUUUCAUGAAACAUUCCUAGCUUCAGCUUUAUUUUUGUAUGAAUUUCAUACAAACUUCAACUUUGUAUAUGUAAACAUAUAUCAUUUAUAUAUGUAAAUAUAUAUGUGUAAACAUAUAUGUAAACAUAUAUCAUUGGAAUUUAGCAAUGCUAUUGCUUUAUACAGUAUGUAUUUAUUUAAACAUAUGCCUUUUAAAAAAUUUGAUUUACUUUUCCAAUAUCUUUUUGAGUAGAAGUAUUAUACACAUUCUCCAGAAAAAGAAAAGAGGGCUAGCAAGUCCUCUUUAAUCCAACAUUUUACUUGUUUAUUUAUUAGCAUUUUGUGAAUGGGCAAAAUGCUUGACUGUGUUUAGUUACUAGUGGCUUGAGGAUGAGUGAAGCACAGUGCUGUCCUUGAAGGAUGUCUCCACUUGGCAAACAAUUAUAAGACAUUUGGAAAGGGACUGCCUUAGCUGGAGGGAUCUUGGAGGAAUGUGGAGGGUUUUGAUUCUGUUUGCACAUCACAGUAAUCCCUAGAAGUUUAACAAAUAUUGAACUGCAGAUCCCACCUAGGGUGGAUGAUGUGAAUCACAACCUCUGUGUCAGAAAGUGAUGGAGAGAAAGACAAGGAGAAGGCUGUAAUACAGAGGAAACUUCCUGUAUACAUAGGACUUUGGAGGUUGGAAUUAACAUAUGCAUGCUGCUAUAUAUAUGGAGAAAGCAAUGGCACCCCACUCCAGUACUCUUGCCUGGAAAAUCCCAU